UACGGAGGGCAGCAGUGGGAAUAUUCGCACAAUGGGCGAAACGACCGUGAUGCGAGCGUAUGCCGCGUGUAUGAAGAAGGCCUUAGGGUUGUAAAGUACUUUCAUCGGGGAGGAAAAACAAAACUAAUAAUUUUAUUUCUUGACGUUACCCGAAAAAGAAGCACCGGCUAACUCCGUGCCAGCAGCCGCGGUAAUACGGAGGGUGCUAGCGUUAAUCAGAAUUACUGGGCGUAAAGAGCACGUAGGUGGUUUUUUUAAGUCAGAUGUGAAAUCCCUGGGCUUAACCUAGGAACUGCAUUUUGAAACUGAAAUACUAGAGUAUCGUAGAGGGAGGUAGAAUUCUAGGUGUAGCGGUGAAAUGCGUAGAUAUCUGGAGGAAUACCUGUGGCGAAAGCGGCCUCCUAAACGAAUACUGACACUGAGGUGCGAAAGCGUGGGGAGCAAACAGGGAUUAGAUACC
rnacentral:rRNA from 1 species